ACACACAAUCACUCAGACACAAACUCACAUUCACUGACACUCAUUUACAGACACACACUGACAGACACACAGUCACUCAGACACACACGCUACCUCACAGAAACUGACAGACAUACACAAACACACACUCGCUCACAGUCACAAACAUUCACUCACAGACACACUGACAGACAGACACACAUUCACUGACAGACAGACUUACAGACACACACUGAUAGAUAUACACACAGACUCACAGACAGACACACUAACAUAAAAAUACACACACUGACAAACAUACAUACACGCAGACUCACUGACAGACAGACACAUACAUAAUCCC